UCACCACACUUUGGGCCUCUGCACUGGAUGGAGGAAGAGCUGCUCCACACUGCGCUAACAGACACAGCUCUGCCUAGCAACGGCGGAACCCCAGCACCUGACACACGCCCCAACUGCUGCCCCAACGUCACUCCCUGCCUCUGGCAGUUGGGGCACUCCAACCCGCAGGGCCGCAGCUCCCAGGCCUGCUGCCCUGCCCUCCCUACAGCGUGUCCAGGCCACGGGGGGACCUCACACCUGGAUGCUACGGAAACAAAGCAGGCCCAUUAUCCACAAAGCAGGAGAAGGCGCUUGACUUUCAGCAGCAGGGCAUCCACACUGAAGCAGAAGAAAAGAUCUUCUUCAGGAGGGUAUUCUUGGGAAGACAAAACCCCUUCCUCCUGACUGCUGCGCUGGCAACGCAGGGAUGCAAAAGAGGAAAACAAAGUCACACCUGCCAUCCCUGAAAGCUUCUUGAACGUAAAGUACAAAAAAGAGCUCAGUCUUACUGGGAAAGCCCAGGCUGGCAUAUGGAUGCUGCUGUGUUGGUGUGGACCUGCUGCAGUAACUCCAAACUUGCUUUGAAAGAAGAUCUCUUAAAAGCUGUGUCUGACGGCCUCGAAGGCAGGGAUGGCAGCAGCAGUGUGGUGCAAAAAGUUAUUUUCCAACCUGUGCUAUUGGCACAUUCAGCCAUCAUAUUAAUAACGCUGUAUGCUACUUGUCCCUACAUCACAAAUUCUCACCUUGUUGGUGCAAAACCAGCAGUAAGGCAAUGCAUGCUUGGAAACAGAUGGCUCUGAGGGCACUGCUAAGUCCUGGUGACGUUUCAAGGUCAGGCUGGAUGGGGCUUUGAGUGGGAGGUGUCUCCGCCUGCAGCAGGGCAGCUGGAAUUAGAUGAUCUUAAAGGUCCUUUCCCACACAAACCAUUCUAUGAUUCUAACCCUGGAUUUGCACACGUCAGUAUCAGUGUACAAUCUGUAUGGGUUUUCUUGUUUGUUUCAUCCAGAGGUGUGGAGAAUACCACCACAGUCCUGCUUUCCAUGACUCUGUUACACAGGGGGAUACUGGAAAUUGAACUCCUUUCUGCCCCCAACAUUGUCACUACUAAAGGGAGAGUAAAAAAAAGCCCAAAGAUGCAGGCAACAAGGAGACCUUCACAAAGCCUAUUUCAAAUGAGCCCUGAGCUCCAUCGCCACUGCAGUCACUGCUUCCUUACCCAGGCAUUACAGGUGGCAGAGGUCCCAUGGUUGUCUGCCUUCUGUUUGCUCGGGGUAAAACUUAAACUCAAAGUGCACCACACAGCCUGUGCUUAAAGCAAUUCACCUUCACAACAGUCUUCCUGGUUUCCUUCACUUUCAAAAGUAGUUAUUUUGCUGACAUGAUCUUAAAUUUUCCCUUACCUGAAGAAAUCUUGUCUACUGCAGCAUCUAAUUCUACCAAUGCAAGUACAAAGUAACCCAGGUGAGGACAUCCAUAAAGCUAGUUAUUUUGUGAUUUCCACAUCACAUUUAAUCCUAUGAAAGUGGGCUAGGUCAGAGCACCUCGAGUGCUCAACUAGCAGUCUGUGUACGGGCAGCACCACCCACAAGAACAUUCCUGGGCAGAGUGUGCCACAAGAAGUUCCUAUGGCAAAAGGAUGUUUUUCAUCCCACACUGACCAGUUAUGAUAAAAACGUAGUGACAUCUUGAAAAUCCCCUUGUGAUAAAGGAAAAUAAAAUAGCAUAUUCGUGUCUGUUCUGCUGAAAG
rnacentral:lncRNA from 1 species